UACAGAGGGUGCAAGCGUUAAUCGGAAUUACUGGGCGUAAAGCGUGCGCAGGCGGUUGUGUAAGACAGGUGUGAAAUCCCCGGGCUUAACCUGGGAAUUGCAUUUGUGACUGCACGACUAGAGUGUGUCAGAGGGGGGUGGAAUUCCACGUGUAGCAGUGAAAUGCGUAGAUAUGUGGAGGAACACCAAUGGCGAAGGCAGCCCCCUGGGAUAACACUGACGCUCAUGCACGAAAGCGUGGGGAGCAAACAGG
rnacentral:rRNA from 1 species